GGGUAUUAUGAGAGGAAAGAAAGUUAGCAAUCCCCUUUGAUCAAGGUGGAAGAAGUACUAUGAACCUUUAUAACACAUAUGUGAUUAAGGCAUUGCCACCUACUCUGUGAUAUCUAACUAUGGUCAGCU
ensembl:snRNA